rnacentral:lncRNA from 1 species
CAGAUAUGUUAGUAUGUCACUGAAGCCAUACUAAUGAGGCAGAGUAAUUUGCGUGUGUGAAGGGAUCUACUCCUGCUGCUGCAACCUGUAAAGAGGCCACUCAGUUUAUUUCCAAUGACUGCAUGAGCAGGCAGUAGGCACAGCCCGAAUCCCACAGUGGAAGAAGCCCUUGCAGACCUGCAGGCUGCAGCACGGUUGCCAGUGUCACACAAAGU